CUGCUCUUGGUGAAUGACACAUACAGAGGACUUGGUUGCUGCUUCCCAUAUGUCCUGCCAUUCUUCGCUUUCAAGUGUCUGGUGGAGCUCUGUUUCCCAUUGUGUUUGGGCUUCCCCAGUGGGUGCGCUCAGUUGUACACAUAGGCGAGUGAUGAGACCGGCACGUGGUCCCUCAGACAUACAUAGUAUUUCGGAGACUGUGG